CCGUGCUAGACGGGGAGGUAGCGGUGCCCUGUACCCGCAAGCCGCUGUAGCGGGGUUGAAUUCCUGCCCGAGGGUCUAACUUGUGGGGUCCGGAACCUGUAAGGGGUGUUGAGGAUCGGGUCUCGUGCGACGGGGCUUCCCGAACCGUGUCAGGUCCUGACGGAAGCAGCACUAAGGGAAAUCCCCCGGGUGCCGCGAGGGUGCCUGGUCUGAGCUACCUGCAGGCGUACCGCCCGGAAGUUUGUAUUCGAAGGCAGGUGCACGG
rnacentral:SRP_RNA from 2 species